rnacentral:rRNA from 1 species
GCGGACGGGUGAGUAAUGCUUGGGAAUAUGCCUUAUGGUGGGGGACAACAGUUGGAAACGACUGCUAAUACCGCAUGAUGUCUACGGACCAAAGUGGGGGACCUUCGGGCCUCACGCCAUAAGAUUAGCCCAAGUGGGAUUAGCUAGUUGGUGAGGUAAUGGCUCACCAAGGCGACGAUCCCUAGCUGGUUUGAGAGGAUGAUCAGCCACACUGGGACUGAGACACGGCCCAGACUCCUACGGGAGGCAGCAGUGGGGAAUAUUGCACAAUGGGCGCAAGCCUGAUGCAGCCAUGCCGCGUGUGUGAAGAAGGCCUUCGGGUUGUAAAGCACUUUCAGUAAGGAGGAAAGGUUAAGUGUUAAUAGCACUUAGCUGUGACGUUACUUACAGAAGAAGCACCGGCUAACUCCGUGCCAGCAGCCGCGGUAAUACGGAGGGUGCGAGCGUUAAUCGGAAUUACUGGGCGUAAAGCGUACGCAGGCGGUUUGUUAAGCGAGAUGUGAAAGCCCCGGGCUCAACCUGGGAACUGCAUUUCGAACUGGCAAACUAGAGUGUGAUAGAGGGUGGUAGAAUUUCAGGUGUAGCGGUGAAAUGCGUAGAGAUCUGAA